rnacentral:rRNA from 1 species
ACGCUCGACACCUACUGGAGGCAGCAGUGAGGAAUAUUGGUCAAUGGGCGCAGGCCUGAACCAGCCAAGUAGCGUGAAGGAUGACUGCCCUAUGGGUUGUAAACUUCUUUUAUAUGGGAAUAAAGUUUUCCACGUGUGGAAUUUUGUAUGUACCAUAUGAAUAAGGAUCGGCUAACUCCGUGCCGGCAGCCGCGGUAAUCUGAGCGGGCUGGCAAGGC